rnacentral:rRNA from 1 species
GAGCGAACUGAUUAGAAGCUUGCUUCUAUGACGUUAGCGGCGGACGGGUGAGUAACACGUGGGCAACCUGCCUGUAAGACUGGGAUAACUUCGGGAAACCGAAGCUAAUACCGGAUAGGAUCUUCUCCUUCAUGGGAGAUGAUUGAAAGAUGGUUUCGGCUAUCACUUACAGAUGGGCCCGCGGUGCAUUAGCUAGUUGGUGAGGUAACGGCUCACCAAGGCAACGAUGCAUAGCCGACCUGAGAGGGUGAUCGGCCACACUGGGACUGAGACACGGCCCAGACUCCUACGGGAGGCAGCAGUAGGGAAUCUUCCGCAAUGGACGAAAGUCUGACGGAGCAACGCCGCGUGAGUGAUGAAGGCUUUCGGGUCGUAAAACUCUGUUGUUAGGGAAGAACAAGUACGAGAGUAACUGCUCGUACCUUGACGGUACCUAACCAGAAAGCCACGGCUAACUACGUGCCAGCAGCCGCGGUAAUACGUAGGUGGCAAGCGUUAUCCGGAAUUAUUGGGCGUAAAGCGCGCGCAGGCGGUUUCUUAAGUCUGAUGUGAAAGCCCACGGCUCAACCGUGGAGGGUCAUUGGAAACUGGGGAACUUGAGUGCAGAAGAGAAAAGCGGAAUUCCACGUGUAGCGGUGAAAUGCGUAGAGAUGUGGAGGAACACCAGUGGCGAAGGCGGCUUUUUGGUCUGUAACUGACGCUGAGG